UCAGAAACUUAAAUGAAUUGACGGGGGCCCGCACAAGCGGUGGAGUAUGUGGUUUAAUUCGAUGCAACGCGAAGAACCUUACCUGGUCUUGACAUCCCGGAGACCCUUAGGAAACUAGGGGGUGCUUCCAUCUGGAAGAAUCUGGAGACAGGUGCUGCAUGGCUGUCGUCAGCUCGUGUCGUGAGAUGUUGGGUUAAGUCCCGCAACGAGCGCAACCCUUGCCUUUAGUUGCCAGCAGUUCGGCUGGGCACUCUAAAGGGACUGCCGGUGUUAAACCGGAGGAAGGUGGGGAUGACGUCAAGUCAGCAUGGCCCUUACGUCCGGGGCUACACACGUGCUACAAUGGCCGGUACAAAGGGUUGCGAAGCCGUGAGGUGGAGCGAAUCUCAAAAAGCCGGCCUCAGUUCGGAUUGGAGGCUGCAACUCGCCUCCAUGAAGUUGGAAUCGCUAGUAAUCGUAGAUCAGCACGCUACGGUGAAUACGUUCCCGGGCCUU
rnacentral:rRNA from 1 species